GACGAACGCUGGCGGCGUGCUUAACACAUGCAAGUCGAACGGAAAGGCCCUGCUUUUGUGGGGUGCUCGAGUGGCGAACGGGUGAGUAACACGUGAGUAACCUGCCCUUGACUUUGGGAUAACUUCAGGAAACUGGGGCUAAUACCGGAUAGGAGCUCCUGCUGCAUGGUGGGGGUUGGAAAGUUUCGGCGGUUGGGGAUGUACUCGCGGCUUAUCAGCUUGUUGGUGGGGUAGUGGCUUACCAAGGCUUUGACGGGUAGCCGGCCUGCGAGGGUGACCGGCCACAUUGGGACUGGGCUACGGCCCAGACUCCUACGGGAGGCAGCAGUGGGGAAUAUUGCACAAUGGGCGGAAGCCUGAUGCAGCAACGCCGCGUGCGGGAUGACGGCCUUCGGGUUGUAAACCGCUUUCGCCUGUGACGAAGCGUGAGUGACGGUAAUGGGUAAAGAAGCACCGGCUAACUACGUG
rnacentral:rRNA from 1 species